rnacentral:SRP_RNA from 1 species
GAGGUUGAAAGGUGGACGCUGUGCUCGCCAACCGGGUCAGGUCUGGAAAGAAGCAGCCCUAACGAUGCUAUAGUGGGUCAUUUUUUCAGCCUCUCA